rnacentral:rRNA from 1 species
UAGAGUUGAUCCUGCUCAGACGAACGCUGCGGCGUGCCUAACACAUGCAAGUCGAGGGAGAAAGCCCGCAAGGGUAGUAACCGGCGAACGGGUGCGUAACACGUGGAUAAUCUACCUCGGUGACCGGGACAACUGGCCGAAAGGCUUGCUAAUACCGGAUAAGCCCACGCGCUCUUCGGAACGCGAGGAAAAAGGCGGCCUCUGCAUGCAAGCUGUCACGUCGAGAUGAGUCCGCGGCCCAUCAGCUAGUUGGCGGGGUAAGAGCUUCACCAAGGCGACGACGGGUAGCUGGUCUGAGAGGAUGAUCAGCCCACACUGGAACUGAGACACGGUCCCAGACUCUCUACGGGAGGCAGCCAGUGGGGAAUCUUGCGCUAAUGGGCGAAAGCUCUGACGCAGCAACGCUCGCGUGUGUGAUGAAGGUCUUCGGAUCGUAAAGCACUGUCGCGAGGGACGAUAUGCCGGGAGCUUAACAUCUCCCGGCUAGGACG